GGCUCUCCGGGACGGUGGCUUCUCUGGCUCACGUUGCGGUUGGGUGUUUCGCUUUGGUCAACCUGUAGAGCAGAAAACAGUGAUCACAACAGUGAAAAUAUUAUGCGAAAUGGGAAUCGGGAAGGGCCUCAUGGGAGUUGCUUUGUGAAAUUCUCCGCGGUAGUGUCGCCGGGCUUCAUCGGUAUUUUUUGAUUAAUUAGCCGAUCCUU
rnacentral:lncRNA from 1 species